AUACGAUGAUGUACAAGCACAUGCUUUAGCUGCUGGUGGGUACCAAGGAGAGUGGCAGAAUUACCAAUACUCUGAACAACAAAUGACUUAUCCUGAACAGUACCUCCAGCAAGAUCUUCAAACUUACGGUGCACAAGGGGACCCAACCAUUCUACAAGAUCCACACUUCAUGACCCAAGAAGAGAAGGAUCGAUGUCGGAUCGGUGUUCAAACGUGAUGAUCAGAGGCUUCAGCAGCUGAGAGAGAAGGAUGCUCGGGAAAAAGAUCUCAAUUUCAUAUCGGACAGUUACUCUGAAUGUUAUCCUGGUUAUCAGGAGUAUAAUCGUGAAGUUGUGGCCUUGUGGGCAGCAAUGAUGAAGAUGAUCUGUCAAAAAUGGAUAUGGGUGGCCGGGGUCGUCUUCAUCGCUGGGACUUUGAGACUGAGGAGGAAUGGGAAAUGUACAACGAACAAAAGGAAGCAAUCUCUUGAAAGUCUUCAACGACUCCACUUCACUCAUAAUCAUCUCAAUUUCCCAAUGAGAGACAUAGUAAGUUAUUCCUCGGAGCUAAGGGCCAUCCAAAUAAUCUAUGCGCUUUAUGCUACGAUUAAAUUCAAUAUUCCAUUUGAUUUUAUCGAGAUCACAGAGGAAGUAACCUUGCAUAGCUUGGAAGAGCGUAACAAAUCCACCAUCACACUCAUCUAGCUUCCUCUUGAAUCGGUUGUGAUAAGACUUCACCGUGCUCCUAGCUUGGUUGUCAUAGUGUUUGUAUUUGUUUAUGUAUGCACUAACAAAAAUUUCUUUAUAAGGAAACAAAUAUGUACCCAAAUGCUCUACAACCAUGGGAUAACUGUUCUAAUACGCCAUUAACAUACUCUCAUUUCUUCA